CGCUGGCGGCACGCCUUAUACAUGCAAGUCGAACGAAGUAGCAAUACUUAGUGGCAGACGGGUGAGUAACAUGUGGGUAUCUUCCCUAUGGUGAGGAAUAACACGAGGAAACUUGUGCUAAUACCUCAUAAGUCUUUACGGAGAAAGCUUUAUGCGCCAUUGGAUGAGCCUGCACUUGAUUAGUUUGUUGGUAGGGUAAUGGCCUACCAAGACUGUGAUCAAUAGCUGAUUUGAGAGGAUGAUCAGCCACAUUGGGACUGAGACACGGCCCAAACUCCUACGGGAGGCAGCAGUAAGGAAUCUUGCACAAUGGAGGAAACUCUGAUGCAGCGAUGCCGCGUGAGUGAAGAAGGCCCUUGGGUUGUAAAGCUCUUUCGUCGGGGAAGAAAAUGACUGUACCCGAAUAAGAAGGUCCGGCUAACUUCGUGCCAGCAGCCGCGGUAAUACGAAGGGACCUAGCGUAGUUCGGAAUUACUGGGCUUAAAGAGUUCGUAGGUGGUUAAAAAAGUUGGUGGUGAAAUCCCAGAGCUUAACUCUGGAACUGCCAUCAAAACUUUUUAGCUAGAGUAUGAUAGAGGAAAGCAGAAUUUCUAGUGUAGAGGUGAAAUUCGUAGAUAUUAGAAAGAAUACCAAUUGCGAAGGCAGCUUUCUGGAUCAUUACUGACACUGAGGAACGAAAGCAUGGGUAGCGAAGAGGAUUAGAUACCCUCGUAGUCCAUGCCGUAAACGAUGUGUGUUAGACGUUGGAAAUUUAUUUUCAGUGUCGCAGCGAAAGCGAUAAACACACCGCCUGGGGAGUACGA
rnacentral:rRNA from 1 species